rnacentral:rRNA from 1 species
CCUACGGGAGGCUGCAGUGAGGAAUAUUGGUCAAUGGCCGGAAGCCUGAACCAGCCAAGUCGCGUGAGGGAAGACGGCCCUAUGGAUUGUAAACCUCUUUUGUCGGGGAGCAAAGCCGGGCACGCGUGGCCGGAGGGAGAGUACCCGAAGAAUAAGCGUCGGCUAACUCCGUGCCAGCAGCCGCGGUAAUACGGAGGAUGCGAGCGUUAUCCGGAUUUAUUGGGUUUAAAGGGUGCGUAGGCGGGUUUUCAAGUUAGCUGUGAAAUGUCCGGGCUAAACCCGGGCCCGGCAGGGGAAACUGGCGUGCUUGAGUGCGCGAGAAGCAGGCGGAAUUCGUGGUGUAGCGGUGAAAUGCUUAGAUAUGACGAAGAACUCCGAUUGCGAAGGCAGCUUGCUGGAGCCGGACUGACGCUGAGGCACGAAAGCGCGGGGAUCGAACAGGAUUAGAUACCCCAGUAGUC